AUUCAAUGACAAGAGACACACUCUCAAAGUCAGAAAAGUACUAAAUCCAUUUACCUCAAAAAAGACUUUACUCUCACAAAAACAAAACAAAACAAUCCAACAACAACCCACCAUUAAUCUCACCAUAAAACUCAGUUUUUAGCUGCUCUUUACCAGUAACACAACUACUACUCAUCCAAAAUCAAUGUAGAAAACCUAGAAAAGAAAAAUAAAAAAAAAAAGGAAACCCCUUUUCUUGCAUUUAGAAAUUGCAGUCUUGUAAUCAAUCUCCAUUGCAGAGUGAUUGAGAAAAAGAGACAAGGAAAUGUCUGGGUCUGGGUGUAGACAGUCUGGGGUUAUCUUCUAUUGCUUUUUAUUGAUCUUGUGCAUCACUAAUCUCAAUCAAGGAACCAGCUUUGUUCAUGGAGAGGAGAAAAAAGGGUCAACUUCACCAACAUCAACAGCAACAGAAAUGGUGCCAUUAAUAACAGAUGAACAUUCUUCACCAGAAAUGAUGAAUAUGCUGGUGAUGAAUUUGAUGAAUGAAACUGAAACUAACAGCAGCAGCAGAAGGAAGCUAAAUAGCUUUAGGAUAUGUGCAUUGUGCACCUGUUGUGGAGGUCCAAAAGGGGUUUGUUUACCAUCACCAUGUUGUUAUGCUAUCAAUUGCAACAUCCCAAACAGACCUUUUGGUUUCUGUGCUUUCACACCCAAGACUUGUAAUUGUCUUGGAUGCCAUCUCUAAUUAGUAUGAAUUUUUUAUAUAAAUUUUCAAAACCCCAUUUCUUGAUUCUCA